AGUGAACGCUGGCGGUAGGCCUAACACAUGCAAGUCGAACGGCAGCACAGUAAGAGCUUGCUCUUACGGGUGGCGAGUGGCGGACGGGUGAGGAAUACAUCGGAAUCUACUUUUUCGUGGGGGAUAACGUAGGGAAACUUACGCUAAUACCGCAUACGACCUACGGGUGAAAGCAGGGGAUCUUCGGACCUUGCGCGAUUGAAUGAGCCGAUGUCGGAUUAGCUAGUUGGCGGGGUAAAGGCCCACCAAGGCGACGAUCCGUAGCUGGUCUGAGAGGAUGAUCGGCCACACUGGAGCUGGAACACGGUCCAGACUCCUACGGGAGGCAGCAGUGGGGAAUAUUGGACAAUGGGCGCGAGCCUGAUCCAGCCAUACCGCGUGGGUGACGAAGGCCUUCGGGUUGUAAAGACCUUUUGUUGGGAAAGAAAAGCAGCAGGUUAAUACCCCGCUGUUCUGACGGUACCCAAAGAAUAAGCACCGGCUAACUUCGUG
rnacentral:rRNA from 1 species